rnacentral:tRNA from 1 species
GUUGUUGUAGCUCAGUGGUAGAACACUUGCCUCACAUGUGUGAGGCACUGGGUUCAAUUCCCAGCACCACA